AUACCUUUCUCGGCCUUUUUGACUAUGAUCAAGUGUAGUGUCUGUUGUUAUCAGUUUAAUAUAUAAUAGAGCAAUGCUUGGUAGCCAGAAAAAGAGGUAGGCUCAAAUGGCUCAAAAUUUAUCUUGCCGGUCGUCCUGGUGGAUGUCCGGCUGGUCGUCUGGCGAGAAGGCUGACAUUUAUCUUGCCGGUCGUCCU